GACGUAGGGCGCGAGCGUUGUCCGGAUUUAUUGGGCGUAAAGAGCUCGUAGGCGGCUUGUCGCGUCGAAUGUGAAAUCUCAGGGCUCAACUCUGACAUUGCAUUCGAUACGGGCAAGCUAGAGUUCGGUAGGGGAGACUGGAAUUCCUGGUGUAGCGGUGAAAUGCGCAGAUAUCAGGAGGAACACCGGUGGCGAAGGCGGGUCUCUGGGCCGAUACUGACGCUGAGGAGCGAAAGCGUGGGGAGCGAACAGG
rnacentral:rRNA from 1 species